rnacentral:rRNA from 1 species
AACGUAGGAGACAAACGUUAUCCGGAGUUACUGGGCGUAAAGGGCGUGUAGGUGGUAAUGUAAGUCUGGCGUGAAAUUUUUCGGCUUAACCGGGAAAGGUCGUCGGAUACUGCGGAACUAGAGGACGGUAGAGGCGUGUGGAAUUCCGGGUGUAGUGGUGAAAUUCGUAGAUAUUCGGAAGAACACCAGUGGCGAAGGCGACUCACUGGCCCGAUACUGACGCUGAGGCGCGGCACAGACGUG